UACGUAGGGGGCAAGCGUUGUCCGGAUUUAUUGGGCGUAAAGAGCGUGUAGGCGGCCAGAUAGGUCCGUUGUGAAAACUGGAGGCUUAACCUCCAGCUGUCGAUGGAAACCACUUGGCUAGAGUCCGGAAGAGGAGAGUGGAAUUCCUGGUGUAGCGGUGAAAUGCGCAGAUAUCAGGAAGAACACCUAUGGCGAAGGCAGCUCUCUGGGACGGUACUGACGCUGAGACGCGAAAGCGUGGGGAGCGAACAGG
rnacentral:rRNA from 1 species